ensembl:lincRNA
AGACUGAUUAAUUUCUGUUUCUCUUCAACAUAACUAACUAGGACAACUUGGCUCUAUUUCAGCUGAAAAUGCAUUGGUAUUUAUCUAAUGACUGUAAGGAAGGCAAAUGUUACAUGUUAAUAUUUCCAUAAAACCGGAGCUUAAGAAAAUCAAAGGCACUUUUUACUUGACUUGGAAUGAACAAAAUUAUUCUGAAGGCUUCUCAGAGCCUUAAGAUGAUUCAAACCUAUUGUUUCUGAUUUUCCAUUGUGGUGACUUCUACGGAGAUAACUAUCAUUUUCAUAGAACAAAACCAGAGCAAAGCUCAUGACAUUACAGGAGGAGCAGAGUUCUAUCAUGUAGAAGUUCAUUCACCUGAGCAUGCUUCCUUAUCAUCAUCUCAUCUUGUGCCGGUAUACAAGUAAGAUCAGCCAGCUGCUGAAAUCUCUAAGGAAUAUCUCUCCAUGGAGACAGAGCCAGACGGCCCAAGUCUCUUCUCUGUUCUUGAGUUCCUGUUUUCAAGUAAUGAUUUGGAUAAACUGGAGACCGGUUUCCUUUCCUCCAACUCUGGCAGCUGAAAUUAAUUCUCCAAAGACUCCUCUUUGGAGGCAAGCAGAUGGUACACAUGCACAUGUUUUAGUUUCGAUUGUACCAGUUUUGAAUAAUUUAAAGUUCCAAAUCUCUAUAAAACUACUGUAUUCCCAUUUCUCAAUACAUUUUUUUCUUUUGCCUCAGAAAUUCUUUCGUUAUAUUUUGACAUUUGGCUGA